rnacentral:rRNA from 1 species
AUGGCCUCCCCUGCCGCUCAUCUCCACCUCCUCCUGCGAGCCCAAUCGCUGCCCACUCCAUCCCCUCAGCCCAUGGAUUCCGGGGCAUCCCCUCUCGGCCACCACCUCUCCUUCUCUCUUUGUUUCCCCCAAGUCUCGAUCUGGAGCGGGAGAGACAGAUACGGCCAAAAGCGCCGGUGCUGGCGCGGGAUGAUAGAGGCCGCCACCUCUCCUCACCUCCUCCCAUGUUCCAGUGGUGGCACCGGGGAAGAAAGGAGCAGCAGCCAUAGCAGACGCGGUGCUAGCAAACGCGAGCGGCAGCAGCCGCAGCAGGAGGCGGUGUUGAUGAAGCGGCGGUCUGUGCCGUCGAUGCCGCUGUCGUACUCUGGGAGAAGGUCAAGCCAACAUGAAUCAACAAUGCCACAACGAGAGAAACGACCAUGGGUCCUGGAGCCGAGCCUUCGCAAUAAGCAUCGCAAGGACCUCGAGAGUUUAGUGUUGACAUCACGGACAUUGAGAACACUUUGCAUUACCCUCAAAAAAGAGAACACUUUCCAUUAUUUGUGCUAG